AAUUGCCCCAUAAUUCUCUUUUCAUUCUCUUUUAAGGAAAAGAAUACUCCACUUGUCUUCCGUAAGUAGUCAAAAAUGGCUUCUACUGAUCAGGAUAUUACUUCAACCAGCCCUUUGCCAUCAAGAGGAUGAAGGAUCUUCUAGUAAUUCAUAGUUUCCAGCAUAUAAAGCCUUUUUUCACAUGCUGAGAAAUGAGAAGGCACAUUACUAGUUGGAGCAAUGGCAAUCAGCAAUGAAAUCAGUUCUUCUUCUCCUGACCUGUUUCCUCAUCACUGGCCUGACCCUUGGACAUGCCACCAGAAAGAGAUUUACCCACUUAAGCAUUUCUCUAUGAUCUGCAUCUGUUGCUGGAGAUGAUCAUGUGUAUCUGCCUUUUUUUGAGAACU
rnacentral:lncRNA from 1 species